rnacentral:misc_RNA from 1 species
CCGAAUUUACAACUCCCAAACCCAAUGUGAACGUUACCAAACUGUUGCCUCGGCGGGGUCACGCCCCGGGUGCGUAAAAGCCCCGGAACCAGGCGCCCGCCGGAGGAACCAACCAAACUCUUUCUGUAGUCCCCUCGCGGACGUAUUUCUUACAGCUCUGAGCAAAAAUUCAAAAUGAAUCA